CUAUCUCGCAACAAUUAAAGAUUUAAUGGAACUCCUCUAAAGAACCCACAAAGAAUAGCAACAGAACGAAGUAAGAACGAUCUCAAAAGAUGAACAAAAGCCACAGAAAAAUAAGAACACUUGAGAGAAAAGUUUGAGUGAAUGCUCUCAAAAUUCUAUUAAUUACUGAAUUAAUACAAUAAGGGGGAGAGGCCUCUAUUUAUAGUUGAGCCUUCCCAAUAUCAAUGGUACAAAUCGAAAUACAUUAAUGGCUAAGAUUUAAAGCUAUCAAGAUAUCAAAUCUCUAAGAUUACAGAAUCGUAUCUUUUAAAGAUUAUAUUAAAGUCUAGGAUCGCAUAUCUUUGAAGAUCCCCUUCCAUAUUUUCCAAGCAUAUCUUUGAAGAUUACUUUCCAUAUUUGCCAAGCUCCAGAGAUGGGCUUUCAAUCUCUCCAAGCACUGGACCAAUCAGAUUGGGCCAAAUGACCUCCCCCAAAAGCGAUAAAUCGCACAAGUUUGUCAUGGUUGCAAGUUUCCCUUUGCAACCCAUGACACUAGUAGCUUGUUCCCUCUGAAUUUUCCCUCAGGACAGCUGGAGCCCUUAGCGAGUUCUAUAGGGUAAAGCUAAUGAUUAGAGGCAUCGGGGGCGCAACGCCCUCAACCUAUUCUCAAACUUUAAAUAGGUAGGACGGUGUGACUUCUUCGUUUAGCUGCGCCACGAAAUCGAGAGCUCCAAGUGGGCCAUUUUUGGUCAGAAAAACUGGCGAUGCAGGAUGAACUGGAAGCCAGGUUACGGUGCCCAACUGCGUGCUAACCUAGAGCUUACAAAGGGUGUUGGUCGAUUAAGACAGCAAGAGGGUGGUCAUGGAAGUCGAAAUCCGCUAAGGAGUGUGAAACAACUCACCUACCGAAUCAACUAGCCCUGAAAAUGGAUGGCACUUAAGUGCGUGACCUAUGCUCGGCCGUCGGGGCAAGGGCCAGGCCUCGAUGAGUAGGAGGGCACGAUGGUCGCCACAAAACCCAGGGAGCGAGCCAGGGCGGAGUGGCCGUCGGUGCAGAUCUUGGUGGUAGUAGCAAAUAUUCAAAUGAGAACCUUGAAGGCUGAAGAGGGGAAAGGUUCCAUGUGAAUGACACUUGCACAUGGGUUAGUCGAUCCCAAGAGACGGGGGAAACUCGUCCAAUAGCGCAUUCAGCGCGAGCAUCGAAAUGGAAUUGGGUUAAAAUUUCUGAACCGGGACGCGGUGGCUGACUGCAACGUUAGGGAGUCUAAAGACGUCAGCAGGGGCCUCAGGAAGAGUUAUCUUUUCUGUUUAACGGCCUUCCCAUGCUGGAAAUGGCUCAGCCGGAGGUAGGGUUCAGCAGUCGGAAGAGCACCGUACAUCGCGUGGUGUCCGGUGCAUCCCUGGCGGCCCUUGAAAAUCUGAAGGACCGAGUGCCGUCCACGCCCGGUCGUACUCAUAACCGCAUCAGGUCUCCAAGAUGAACAGCCUUUGGUCAAUGGAACAAUGUAAGCAAGGAAAGUCGGCAAAAUGGAUCUGUAACCUCGGAAAAAGGAUUGGCUCUGAGGGCUGGGCACGGGGGUCCCAGUCCCAAACCCGUCGGCUGCUGAUGCACUGCUCGAGCUACUUUCGCGACGAGAGCGGGUCACCGAUGGCUGGCCGGGGGACGAACUGGGAAUGGCUCCCUCAGGGGCCUUCCCCGGGCGACGAACAGUCGACUCAGAACUGGUACUGACAAAGGGAAUCUGACUUUUUAAUUAAAACAAAGCAUUGUGAUGGUCCCUGCGGAUGCUCACGCAAUGUGAUUUCUGCCCAGUGCUCUGAAUGUCAAAGUGAAGAAAUUCAACCAAAUUUUCGCACAUUCAUAUUCACAUAUUUUAGACCAUAAAUAUCACAUUCAAAUAAUUUGGUGACUCGGUUUAGAGGUCCCGAAACCGCUUUCCGACUAGGGUCACUAUAGGGCUGUCACAUUCACCAUCAUGCAAUGCCACUUCCAAAUCUUCAACCUUACUUUUUAGCUCCUUUAACUCGACCGUAGGAUCAUGGUUUUGAUGCCAACGAAGGGAUCUUCCAAGCUCAGUUACCUUAGUCUUCAACCCUUAAUUCUCUUUCUCUCAUGCCAAAUUCUGCAACCGCAUCUCUUGGAACUUCCUCUCCCAAUACUUGGGUCAACCACUCACUUUAAAGAUACUUGUGUCUUCUUAUACUCUUCUUUUAAAUCAUCUCGGUCUUCCUCAACCUUUCUUUUUUCCUUCCUAACUUUUUCAACCUCCUUCUUUUGCAGGUAAACAUCUAGACUAAGGUACAUCUUCUCCUCCUCAAGCUUUUCUAUCUUCUUUUCGAGUUCCAAAUUCUUUCUCUUAAAUUCUUGCUUUAUGAUAUUAAGCUCCGAGGGUAUCACUUGCAAAUAUUCCUCCAUUGGUUGAGCUUCCUCCAUUUUUUUCAUAUAGACAUUAUCGUUAAUCCUUCUACUCCUCCACUCGACAUAUUCUGGGGUCGUAGCAGGAUUAAUGGCCACUCCUUUCAAUCAACAAGUCUUGUUCCAAGCACUAGAAACCUCGCUAACCUUCCU
rfam:Gossypium arboreum cultivar AKA8401 contig_1357_5, whole genome shotgun sequence.